CUUGCAAUUUCCAGUGGGAAUAUUUAUAAUUACGUUUGUCACGCAAGUGAUGAUGAUUCUGAAUUCGUUGCGGAAUAAUCGUUUUGGACUGGGGGGCGGUACCCCACAGCUCCACCAAUCUUUACGGGGCUGACAUAGUUUCGACAGGCGAAGUAAAGGCAAAUCGAGUGAAUCCGGGCUGUUCCGUUAAAGACAAACUAAAAACUGAAUGGCGAUAGAAUCGCUGCGAACGACAACGUUCGCCUUGCAAUGGCUGCCUAAUAUGGCAUUGAGAUGUGUCGGCAAUUGUUGAUAUAUCUCGCUUAGCUUUUGCGGGGUUCGUCGGGUACCUGGCACCAGAAACCC
rnacentral:tmRNA from 1 species